rnacentral:sRNA from 1 species
AAAUUCCUCACGUACGAUUUCCCUCCAUCUGC